rnacentral:rRNA from 1 species
UUUUGACCUCGGAUCAGGUAGGGAUACCCGCUGAACUUAAGCAUAUCAAUAAGCGGAGGAAAAGAAACCAACAGGGAUUGCCCUAGUAACGGCGAGUGAAGCGGCAACAGCUCAAAUUUGAAAUCUGGCUCUUUUAGAGUCCGAGUUGUAAUUUGCAGAGGGCGCUUUGGCUUUGGCAGCGGUCCAAGUUCCUUGGAACAGGACGUCACAGAGGGUGAGAAUCCCGUACGUGGUCGCUGGCUAUUGCCGUGUAAAGCCCCUUCGACGAGUCGAGUUGUUUGGGAAUGCAGCUCUAAAUGGGAGGUACAUUUCUUCUAAAGCUAAAUAUUGGCCAGAGACCGAUAGCGCACAAGUAGAGUGAUCGAAAGAUGAAAAGCACUUUGGAAAGAGAGUCAAACAGCACGUGAAAUUGUUGAAAGGGAAGCGCUUGCAGCCAGACUUGCUUGCAGUUGCUCAUCCGGGCUUUUGCCCGGUGCACUCUUCUGUAGGCAGGCCAGCAUCAGUUUGGGCGGUAGGAUAAAGGUCUCUGUCACGUACCUCCUCUCGGGGAGGCCUUAUAGGGGAGACGACAUACUACCAGCCUGGACUGAGGUCCGCGCAUCUGCUAGGAUGCUGGCGUAAUGGCUGUAA